GCUUCCGAGCCACUGUUGCGUAUGAGUGUGUGUGUAUGUGCAUGCACGCCCCUGUGAAGGCACAGACGAGAGGUCUGUCUGAGACCAGGGUGGUGAGCCAGCCCAUUCAGACGGGCGGAUAGGGUCGGGGGCACACGUUGAACAGGGGCAGAGAGACAAAGAGAGAGACACACACACACACAUCCAUACAAAGGGGGUCUCCACAGUCUAUGAAGCCGGCUGGGAGCCACUGUUUGUUGGGGCUACGCCUGUCCGUAGAGUCGCCCUGCACAGAUUGAUGAAGUGAGAGGACGUGGCCUGCUGACCCCCGAGAGACCCAUCCUUGGCAGGCAUGAUCAUCAGGCUGAGCAGGCUGACCCCGGGGUACUCCCGCCUGCUCCAGACAGCAACUGCAUCGUGGGCUACAUAGAGAGAUGACGUUAUGUAACAUCAAGAAGGCUUCAGGAGGCAGGUCUCCGGGGAGGUCCAGGUGCAGCAUCAGACCAGCUUCGUCAACCCCAUUGCCAUGACGAUGGCCGCCCUGGGCCUGGGGGUGUCUCUGUACAGUACCAAGCGGCUGGCCGAGAGAGUCCAACUGAAACAGACGGCGAACUGACGCCGCACCUAAAUGUAGACACGCACCUGAGUGUCGAAGUCACGAUGGAUUAGGCUGCUUUCACUAAACUAAUUGUAGGGCCCCUGUCACUUAGCUGCUAAGUGCCAUGUUGUCUUUGUAUGAAGUUUGUUGUUUUGUGAGUCUUGAAGAAGGUUUGAAAGGUUUGUGUGGAAGAUGAAUAUAGUUCUGUAGAGAACUGGUUGGAGAAGUAAAGGUUUGUCCCUUGUACUGUGAUGUGAACAAAGAUUAAGAAAGUGUGGAAAUUCGAAAAAUACAUGGUCACCAUCAUACUAUAUGAAGCAGAUUUCUUAGGGAAUAGUUCAGUAAUAAGGAUAUAGAGAAUAUUUUGUCACCACCUUUUGUCAAGAAGUGUCACAUUAAUAAAUCUGAUGGACCACACAGAAAGUUCUUGAAAGUGAAUAUCUUCUGUCCUGCUGACUAAAUAUUUCCCCGUAUAUCUUUGUGAUUCAUUAUGUUUCCAUCUAUUUCUGUUUGUGUCAGCUAACCUCAAAGAUGUCCCUUAAACUGAUUUUAAUCUCUGGACCUAAUCUAGUCUGCUAGUCUGACUCUGUUGUAUGUAACAUUUGUAAACUUCCUCAAUCCCUUCGAUAUUAAAUAUCAUCCGGUUAAUCAAAUUAGUUAUGACGCAAACACUUCUAUUACUUAUUUGUAAUUCAUUUCCAUGAAUGGCUUGAAAUUAAACAAAACCAUUGAAAAACGAAA
ensembl:lncRNA